AUGGCACCCCAGCUCUCCUCCCUUGCUGCAUCUGCGGGCAUAUGUGUAGUCUCAGCUCUCGCCUUAGCCCUGAUGGUGAUCACCCUCUACAUCAUUGGCGUUGUUGUAUCCUUUGCCGUCUUCUACAUCAGAGAGUUCACCCAGAGAGCCCAUGAUCGGCCGCCGCUCACCGGGACCGUCUUCCGGCAGCUCAACAACUUUGACAAGAUCUUCGAUGAGCAUGUGAAGUAUGCACUCCUGCACCCCACCAUUAGGCUUGUCUAUCCUGGGCACAGUGAGAUUUUAACCGCCGACCCUGCCGUCAUCGAGCAUAUCCUUAAGACAAACUUCAGUAAAUACAGCAGGGGGGCCUUCAACACGGAGACCGUGAAGGAUCUGUUUGGAAAUGGGAUUUUCGUUACAGAUGGAGAGAAGUGGCAACACCAGAGAAAGCUAGCAAGCCAUGAGUUCUCAACCAAAGUGCUACGUGACUACAGCAGUGAUGUUUUCCGAAUGAAUGCUAUGAAAUUGGCAGAGAAGACCUCAGCUGCAGCAGCUAACAGAAUUACCAUAAACUUGCAGAAAGCCAGAGAUGACAUACUAUCAAGAUUCAUACUGGAAAGUGAGAAUGAUCCUGGGACGAUGAACGAUCGUUACCUUCGUGACAUAGUCCUCAGCUUCCUGAUUGCUAGUAAAGACACCACAGGGAAUACCCUUACAUGGUUCUUCUACAUGCUCUGCAAGAACCCAGUAGUGCAGGAUAAGGUUGCCUUUGAAAUCAGAGAAUAUGUCGAGUGGACUCAAGAAGAUACCAGCAUGGAAAUAUUCACCGCAAGAUUGAAACAAGGUGCUAUUGACAAAAUGCACUACCUCCAUGCUGCGAUUACCAAGACUCUCCGGCUGUAUCCUGGUGUUCCGGUGGAUGGUAAGAUGGCAGAUGAAGGUGAUGUACUGCCAAACGGCCAACGAGUAAUAAAAGGAGAUGGAAUGAACUACAUGAUUUAUGCCAUGGCUAAAACAUGA
rnacentral:rRNA from 1 species